rnacentral:misc_RNA from 1 species
UUUUGUAUGAAUGAGAUUUAAAUCUUGGCGUUGGGUCCUAAAAAAAUCCCUCAGCCAGUGCUAAAAUAAUCAGUUUCCUGCGCAAAGUGAGAACAGGAUGGCAGUCGACAAAUAAUCGAGUUUGCCACUUUGGGAAUAUAAUUUCUUUAAUCCUAGGUGAACCAUUUGCAGCAUGUCUCUUUGACUCACAUAAGGACAUCACGAAUUCCGGAUGACUAACCAUCCUAACAUCAAUGACAGUAGAAGAAUCAACAUUCUCCAAUUUGCCAUUUUACUUUCGACAUAGAUUACAAUUACAACAACGACAACCUUCUUCCUUUAUACUUAUAUUAGCCCUUGCUGAAUUGCAGGCUAGCACCAUUUUCUUAGCUUUAAAAUGGAAAUGGUGACAAAAAAAUUGUUAUAUUUUAGCAAGGAGAUGGUGAAGAUGCGCUUUUCGAACUACCAUUUGGUGUCCAUGCAUAAAUAAGCAAGCCCAAAACAAGGAUGAUAGCUCCUGCAACAAAUCCAGUUGGAAGGGUGGACGCAAUACCGAGAUAUGGCAGUGGCAGCGUGAACACAUAUACAGAUAUUGGCACUGAAAAUGUUGAAGCAAGGGAAGAUACAACAGCAGAAGAAAUCUUGAGGAGGUGCAGCAAUGAUAUGUUAAAACCCAUGUUGACAAGAACAAACAGCAAAGGUAGCAGAGGCGCACCGUCACAUCCACUAGAUAAACCACCAAUGUUCAGAAAACAAACUGCCCCAUCUUUAAGAUAGCUUGGAAGCUGACUAAAUGGUAUACCCCAUAAUUUCGACAUGAAAGGAAGAAGAAGACAUACAAACAAUGCUUGGAAAGCAGAUCCAUAGGAAUUUACAACAAAUAGAUCCACCGAACCUCCCUUUAGCUGCCGAGCAGUAUCCCGGAAAAUAAAUUCCUUGAGCACUGUAUCAGCUGCUUGCAAUAGAAAAGAGAAUAUCAUCAAAAGACUCCAAAAUAUGCUGGCAUCCUUCACUGAAUGAUUGGCACUAGAUCCACUUGCUACAGUUAUAAUCACGCCAAUGGCAACGAGGAAGCAUCCAAUUAGCUGAUUGACUUUAUAUCUCCUCCCAAGAAAAAUAAUUGACAAGAGAAUCUGCCAAACAAGAAAGGUCUGAGAUAAAAUUGGAAUUGAUGCUCCAGAAAGAAUUG